GAACAGAUAUUUUUCUCCUCUUUUUCUUGCAUCUCCAAAAUUUCUAACUUCCUCUUGUAUGAAGGCACCUAGACUUAGUGAGUUUCCCUUUGUGACUUGGAAGUUGUGGGAAGGGAGAAUCAGUCAGGAAAUGAGGUGUCAGUAGGCUCUUUAGCAAACUCAGCCAGUAGAUGGCUAAAAAAGGACUUGGUUACUUUGGGUCCAUUUUGUCUAUCCAUGGGAUACGACCAUGAGCGCGGGGAAGAGCUCUCUACCUGAGCAUGUGGACUGAAAAGAGUAGAACCUUGGGGGAUCCUGAAGGAAGAGGGGAAACCAGGAAAACAGAGGAAGUUAACUUAGGAGGGGUAAGGGAAGAAGAAUGCAAGAUUGACGUUGCAGAAGCCAGAGGCCAGGGCUAAGAACAGGGUAAGGGACUUUUGAGAAAGGAGUAGCAGAGCAUUCACAUUAGAUAAGUUCUGAAAGGUGUCCACUGAGCCUGGGUUUGUUAUCUAGAAGGUGACCUACUGUAAACUUUGCCAGAGCAUUUUCAGUGGUGAAGAAGUGAGACCUUUGGCUCCCAGUGAAGGGAGCAAGCCCAGUUAGGUUUCUUUAACAAGCUUGGCCAGGAAGAUGGAGCAGUUGCUAGAGACGAUGGAAGGUCAAGGGAGACCUUUGCUUCCUCCACAACUGUGGCAGGCUCUGGGGCACCUUCAUAAGCUGCACAAAGAGAGCCUGAUGAGAGAGGUACUGUAACUACAGUUCUCUAAAUCUUGAUGGAGUAAUCUACAUCCCCAAGAAAUUAUGAUAAUGAAGGUUAGGGCACUCAAAACUAUUUUUCUUCCCUAGCAUUUAGGGAUUCUGAGUAUGAGUCUCUGUCUUUCUCUCUUCCUUUCCUUUUAUGAUACUGAAUAAUUACAAGAAGACAGUUACAGAAAGUUAUAGACCUUGAACAUAUGCAAGUACUUCCCUCUACCUUCAUUAUUAGAUUCUUGCCCAGCUAGGCAGGUCCAAGAUUUUGUUUCUGGCUAUGCUAAUUUUGGACAAUAAAAAGAAUAUCCUAUAAGCAAAAGCACCAUCUUUCACACAGGUGCUGGAAGUGGCCUCUUUAUCUGCCAUGGAGACAUAUAGUUUGGUCCUCAAUUUGGCCACCCGUCUUGCCUCUGGAAGAUCAUACAUAUCUGGAUUCUCAGACUCUGCACCUCUUUUGGAGAAUCUGCUAUUUUCUAUAAGCAGUCAUUGCAGAGGGAGUAAACAUUUUGGAUCAACUUCUCUUUUCGGCCUUUUGCUCCUUACCGGUAGCUCACAAUUUGGAAAGACAAUGGAAUUAAAAAUGAGUUAUGAAUUUGAGUCAAGAUGAAUCCAUACAUCCAGAUGGUCUGGAGCCUCUGUGAUUCUUCCAUGAAUGACUCCCUCUUCCUAGUAUGGCAGAAUAUUCUCCCAACUGGGAGUUGGAUUUAGACAAGUCACUAUGGGCCUCAGAGUCUUCUGUGGACCUGAGAGUCUGGGAGUAUAAUCCUUCUAACCUUGCAAGGCUAGAUGUCUGAGCACACCUGUACACUCUUAUUCAUUUUAUAUAAAUGGAAACCAUGGCAGUAUGGGCUUCUUUGAUAGACUCAGGAAACAGGUGGAUGCAAUACUUCAUUUAGAAAAGAUGUAAAUAUAUCUUCCCAGGUGUACUUAAUUUGUGUAUGUCCUGGAAUCAUAAAACCUUGGAAACUAGAAAGGAAAGAGUCUCACUACUGUAGCCUACUUAAUUAAUCUGCCCUGUAGUUCAUUUGUUUGUACAAUUGCAUUUCUAGUGUUAAGUGCAUGGAGAGCCUGGCUACUGGUUUCCUGAUGCCUUCAGCAGGCAUAAAUCACCUACAGAGGCAGUGGCAACAUGGUCCUCGUUUUUCCUCCGAAAAAGCUUUCCUCAUUUUCUCAACAUUUUGGAUUCCAAGACAAAGUGGUUAAUAAAACCAGUAGUUCUGUUUCAGUUUUGUUCUGGUUCUGUCUCUGGGGUUGUCUUGGUGCCUGGUUUUCUUUGGUUCCAAUGAAUAAUGUGUCAUUUUUUAAAACUCUUUUAGCUUCUUACACUUUUGGGCUUCUUUUAUAAUAUUCCCUGAUCAGGGGUGAGCCCUUCAUCACCAGAUUAAAUUUUGCUUACCUUGGAUCACUAUCAGGCAAAAUUGGUUUUAAUGGAUUAUCUCAACCAAUGGUAUCCAGAAGAUGCCAGGACUGGAAAGCACCAGCCAUCGCUUGAGCAUCAUCUGGGAGCUCAUUAGAAAUCCCUAUUCCUGGGCUCCCCAGACUGGGGCUAAGAAUCUGCAUUUUAC
rnacentral:lncRNA from 1 species